UUGAUCACAUGGUGCAUGCUGCACAUGAUGCCUGCAGCCAAUCAGACUGUAUCGGAAAGAUUCGCUGCUCUUCCGCUGUUUAACUGCUGGGUGUGCAGUGAAUCUGGAGUAGAACAGAUCUGGACCUUGUUAAUGUAUCUGCUGGAAGCCUUCCGGGACCUGUCUGGAGGAAGAAGGAAAGUCUCUAGAAAGAUUGCUGUGCUGUACAGCCCAGCCUGUCACCAUUCCUCAGGAAGAUAUUGGACGCUGGAGGAUGGGUGACUAUGAAAACAAGUGUCACUUACUGUGAGCAGAGAGAGGGGACACCAUACCUCAAAAAAAUGACUGGAGGAAACCCAAAGAAGACCUGGACACUCCACAUCGGCACUGAAAUAUCUUUAUUCUAAGUUCACAAACAUCCAGGGACCAGGAGGAAGCUUGGAGCUUUCCAGACAGAACAAACAAGAGCAGUGUCCUGCAACAAUGUAAAGGGACCUGGAGAAAAAGAGGACACUUAGUAGCACCUGGACCUCUCUGUCCUCUGCAAGCAUGGAGCCCUCCAUAGGAAGCAGUGUGCACUGCGACUUUUCAGCAGGUCUGUGACCAGCUUGCACCACCACUUUUCAGCAGGGCUGUGACCUUGGGCAGGGCAUCACUCCUUGACAUUAGUCAGUGUUUCUUGCUUGGAAAGAACAAGGCCAUGAUGGGCAAAAGGAGCUUCUGGGGCCACGCCCCUUAUCCCUGCAACACCUGGUCAGAUUAAAGAGACCAGGUGUGAAGGCUAGCAGGGGGCG
rnacentral:lncRNA from 1 species